UUUAUUAAUGUGGGAUGUGGCUCUAUGUCCAGUUCUGUUUCUCUUUUAAAGAAAUCCCCUCUGCCUCUUGUGUGCAGUAAGUUGAUUGUUUUGUCUCUGUAUUAUUGUGCAGAUUGGCCAAGUGUUAGUCGAUCUGCAAGCCGGUUUAAGAGCUGGAUUGUCCGGUCCAAUUCAACAUGGAUCUGAGUGUAUGUUGAAACUUUUCGUCCAUCAAGCGCCGCCUCCGGCCGCCCCGACGACGCCCUCGCCUCCGCCAACCUCCACUCCUCCAUGAGGUGAUUUGUUUCUUGGAAUUUGGAAGAGGAAGACGAUGAAGCGUGGUGGUUAUCUAUCAAUAUGCCUUGUGUUUUGGUUGUACUUCAUAGCUAGUUACAUUGUAUUAUGUACUGGUCUGGUUGUAUGAACACUAUGUAAAGAUUGUAAUAGGCUAAUUUUGGCUAUCAUUUCAAGUAUAUAGUUUUGUUUCA